rnacentral:tRNA from 265 species
CGCGGGAUGGAGCAGUCUGGUAGCUCGUCGGGCUCAUAACCCGAAGGUCGUAGGUUCAAAUCCUGCUCCCGCAACCA